GCCGUUUUUAUGCUUCUGCGUAGGCUCCACGCCGUAGCCUACGUGAGUGACCUGGUGUUUAUACGUGCUGGUGUGUGUUGAGCCGGCAUGUGUGUGUGUGUGUGUGUGUGUGUGUGUGUGGGGGGGGUGAUAGAGUGAGGGAGAAGUGAGAGAGUGACGGCGAUUAGCUUCAGAGCGAGUACUGACUCUAGAGACAUAGUGAGAGAAACAAAGCAU